UGUUUUGCAAAAUUGAUCUACAGUCCAGUUAGAGAAGAGGACAUUGAGAAGACGGCGUUUCCCACUAUGUAUGGGCAUUAUGAGUUUCGAGUUAUGUCUUUUGGGCUGACUAAUGCACAUCCUUACUUCAUGGAGACAAUGAAUUGCUUCAUCAGUUUGAUGACUCAAUGGUUGUAUUCAUCGAUGACAUACUCAUUUUCUCCAAGACUGAGGAAAAACAUGAGCAACAUUUGAGGAUGGUGCUUCAAAACUUGAGGGAUAAUAAGUUCUAUGCCAAGUUGAAGAAGUGUGAGUUUUGACUAUCAAAAGUUAGUUUCUUGGGGCAUGUCAUUAAUCAGGAAGGUAUUUCUGUUGACCCAAGUAAUGUUUCUACAGUAGUAGAACGAGAAAAUGAUGAGAACAUUACUUGCUUGGAUACAACCACAUUAGCAACUUUAGAUUCAAAUGUGAAACAAUUUUUUGUCAUGAUUGUAUUUGAUACAUUUGAUGAAUUGAUGCUGCACCAUGAUGUGUGUUCAUUAACAUUUUCAGAAAUACAUACAUGGAUAAAAAAGAGUGUUAAACACGUCACUUUUGGAGGACCAAAGAAGUUGAUUGGGACCAAUUCCAAGUAUUUCCAACGUCCUCUGCUAGGUCACCACGUCACUUUUGGCCCAAGGAAAGAAAGAGAUAAAAUCCAACACGUUUUGGGGCUGGAUUCGGACUGCGGAACAACACCAACUUGUGACGAUCACCACGGUCGCAUAUGGACUCGGAUUGGGGCAUUCAACUACUUCAUGAAAUCCUUAUCAAGUCUAUUUUCAUAUAGAGCCAAACUAAUAGCCAUAUCUUUUCUGAGACGGCCGCAAUCAUUGAUUUGUUCCAGAGACAUUUUCUACCUACGGUGCUGCAUCACCCUAUUUUGGCCCGAUGGGCUUUAUAUCAAGUUGGGUCCAAUAAGGAUGCGUCCAAGGGUUGGGGCACGACACCAGGACCCCCGGGUCGUCCUCCAAGGUAUUAAUAAGGAUUAGAGCCACCACAAAAAGAUUGGGUUUUGUUUAGAUAAAUGUCUAGCUACUGCUACUUCCUUAUAAAUGCGUGUGUUGAUUAGACCACCCGAUUUUGUUGAUUCAGAACCCCAAAUUUGAGUGUAUCAGAUUCAUCUCUUGGGUAAUAUCUGUGCACUAUUUGCUUGUCCACUUGUUCUUGCUUGUUCUUUGAUUUGCUUGCAGGUUCAAGGCUGUUCUUGGCACGGCAAGAACAACAACAAAUUGGAGCCGGUGUAACUAUUGCUAAGGCGCAGCGCCCCUGUUUGUCGUUGUAGUCGGGUAGCACAAUGUUGGAUCCACUCCAAAUCAAGUUCUUUCCAACUCACCAAAAGGUUGGGAACAAACCUUAGUGGCUUCAUAUCAAUUGGAACUGUUGUGCCUAGGCUCACGUCUCUAGCAUGGUUUAGCCUAGAACCAACAUAGUACCGUUGUUGAAUGAUUAUUCAGUUUACUUUGAUUAAUGUGGUUCUAGCUAUUCCUUGAUUUUACUUGUAGUCACCUAUAGAUCCACAGAUUAUCUACUACAUCACAGGGUUGCGCAUGUGCCACCAUUUGCGCUUUUCUUACCAGUUGCCAACACCUUUUGCAAGUGUGGUAAGAACAUGUAAGAACUUGAAUGGACAGGUUUGAGUGAAAAAGGAAUCUUCCACCACCUAUUUCCUUUAGUUUGUAGGCAACUUCUUUUUUAUUUUUUUGGUUGUCUGCUAACAAUGGCAGGCCCGGCAAGACACGUGGGAGCUGGGAGGUUGCACCAUGGGUGUUCCCAACCUUUACAAUAUAUGGGAGCACACCCACUAGAGGUACAUGAUGAUAUUCUAACUGAGUUUUCCUAGGUUUUCUCUUAUGCAACAAGGUCAGCCCGAAGAAGGGGAGCAUUGCUGGUUGUGGCCAUGUAGCAUGGCCGUCGCUCCGUAUUACAACAUCAAAGGAAGCACCUUUGAAUGCCAUUGGAGCAAGUUGAGGACGACUUGCAGCAAAGAAGGGAAGAAUGACGAGAACAUCACUUGCAUGGAUACAACCACAUUAGCAACUUUUAAUUCAAAGAAAUAAAUACGUAGAUUAAAAAGAGUGUUAAACACACAUGGAAGGUAUGGAGGAUCAAAGAAGUUUAUUGGGGACCAAUUCCAAGUAUUCCCAACAUCCUCCACCAGGCCACCACGUCACUUUUGGCCCAUGGCAACAAAGAGAUCAAAUCCAACACAUUUUCCAGCUGGAUUCGGACUUCAGAACAGCACCAAGUUGUGACGGUCACCACGGUCGCAUAUGGACUUGGAGUGGGGCGUUCAAGUAUUUCAUGGAAUCCUUAUCAAGUCUAUUUUCAUAUGGAUUUAGACUCAUGCCCAUAUACAGUCUGAGGCGGCCGCAGUCAUCAAUUUGUUCCAGAGAUGUUUUCUACCUAGGUGCUACGUCACGCUAUUUUGGCCCGAUGGGCCUUGUAUCAAGUCGGGUCCAAUAAUGACGCGUCCUAGUCGUCCUCCUAGGGAUUAAUAAGGAUUACAGCCACCACAAAUAGAUUGGGUUUUGUUUAGAUGAAUGUUUACCUACUGCUACUUCCUUGUUAACGCGUAUGUCGAUUAGACCACUUGAUUUGCUUGAUUCAGAACCCCAAAUUUGAGUGUAAUAGAUUCAUCUCUUGGGCAA